rnacentral:rRNA from 1 species
AGUGAACGCUGGCGGUAGGCCUAACACAUGCAAGUCGAACGGCAGCACAGUAAGAUCUUUCUCUUACGGGUGGCGAGUGGCGGACGGGUGAGGAAUACAUCGGAAUCUACUUUUUCGUGGGGGAUAACGUAGGGAAACUUACGCUAAUACCGCAUACGACCUACGGGUGAAAGCAGGGGAUCUUCAGACCUUUCGCGAUUGAAUGAGCCGAUGUCGGACUAGCUAGUUGGCGGGGUAAAGGCCCACCAAGGCGACGAUCCGUAGCUGGUCUGAGAGGAUGAUCAGCCACACUGGAACUGAGACACGGUCCAGACUCCUACGGGAGGCAGCAGUGGGGAAUAUUGGACAAAGGGCGAAAGCCUGAUCCAGCCAUACCGCGUGGGUGAAGAAGGCCUUCGGGUUGUAAAGCCCUUUUGUUGGGAAAGAAAAGCAGCAGGUUAAUACCCCGCUGUUCUGACGGUACCCAAAGAAUAAGCACCGGCUAACUUCGUG